ACAAUGAAGAGUUUGAUCCUGGCUCAGGAUGAACGCUAGCGGCAGGCCUAACACAUGCAAGUCGAGGGGCAACACGGAAAAGCUUGCUUUUCUGGUGGCGACCGGCGCACGGGUGCGGAACGCGUAUGGAACCUGCCCCUGUCAGGGGAAUAGCCCAGGGAAACUUGGAUUAAUGCCCCAUGGUAUCGUCAUAUCGCAUGAUAUGACGAUUAAAGAUUUAUCGGACAGGGAUGGCCAUGCGUACCAUUAGUUAGUUGGUGGGGUAACGGCCCACCAAGGCAGCGAUGGUUAGGGGCCCUGAGAGGGGGAUCCCCCACACUGGUACUGAGACACGGACCAGACUCCUACGGGAGGCAGCAGUGAGGAAUAUUGGACAAUGGGCGGGAGCCUGAUCCAGCCAUGCCGCGUGCAGGAUGACGGCCCUAUGGGUUGUAAACUGCUUUUAUACGGGAAGAAACGCACCUACGUGUAGGUGUCUGACGGUACCGUAAGAAUAAGGACCGGCUAACUCCGUGCCAGCAGCCGCGGUAAUACGGAGGGUCCGAGCGUUAUCCGGAAUCAUUGGGUUUAAAGGGUCCGUAGGCGGGCCUGUAAGUCAGGGGUGAAAGUUUGUGGCUCAACCAUAAAAUUGCCUUUGAUACUGCAGGUCUUGAGUCAUGGUGGGGUCGCCGGAACAUGUGGUGUAGCGGUGAAAUGCAUAGAUAUCACAUAGAACACCGAUCGCGAAGGCAGGUGACCAACCAUGUACUGACGCUGAUGGACGAAAGCGUGGGUAGCGAACGGGAUUAGAUACCCCGGUAGUCCACGCCGUAAACGAUGGAUACUAGCUGUGGGGACUUCGGUCUCCGUGGCCAAGCGAAAGUGAUAAGUAUCCCACCUGGGGAGUACGUUCGCAAGAAUGAAACUCAAAGGAAUUGACGGGGGCCCGCACAAGCGGUGGAGCAUGUGGUUUAAUUCGAUGAUACGCGAGGAACCUUACCAGGGCUUAAAUGCAGGCUGCAUGGGGUGGAGACACCCCUUUCUUCGGAC
rnacentral:rRNA from 1 species